rnacentral:rRNA from 1 species
GACGAACGCUGGCGGCGUGCUUAACACAUGCAAGUCGAACGGAAAGGCCCUGCUUGCAGGGUACUCGAGUGGCGAACGGGUGAGUAACACUUGGGUGAUCUGCCCUGCACUUCGGGAUAAGCCUGGGAAACUGGGUCUAAUACCGGAUAGGAGCCAUUUUUAGUGUGAUGGUUGGAAAGUUUUUUCGGUGUAGGAUGAGCUCGCGGCCUAUCAGCUUGUUGGUGGGGUAAUGGCCUACCAAGGCGGCGACGGGUAGCCGGCCUGAGAGGGUGGACGGCCACAUUGGGACUGAGAUACGGCCCAGACUCCUACGGGAGGCAGCAGUGGGGAAUAUUGCACAAUGGGCGCAAGCCUGAUGCAGCGACGCCGCGUGGGGGAUGACGGCCUUCGGGUUGUAAACUCCUUUCGCUAGGGACGAAGCUUUUGUGACGGUACCUAGAUAAGAAGCACCGGCUAACUACGUG